rnacentral:rRNA from 1 species
UACGUAGGUGGCAAGCGUUGUCCGGAUUUAUUUGGCGUAAAGGGAGCGCAGGCGGUGACUUAAGUCUGAUGUGAAAGCCCACGGCUCAACCGUGGAAGGUCAUUGGAAACUGGGUCACUUGAAUAUAGAAGAGGAAAGUGGAAUUCCAUGUGUAGCGGUGAAAUGCGUAGAUAUUAGGAGGAACACCAGUUGCGAAGGCGGCUCUCUGGACUGUAACUGACACUGAGGCACGAAAGCGUGGGGAGCAAACAGGGAUUAGAUACCCCGGUAGU